GCGACUGUAGCGCUUCUAGUGUUCACUAUCGGUACUAUUUAGCAACGUUAAAUGGCCCUUCUUUCACGUCAAAUAUUUUUCUAUAAAAUUAUAAAUAUUGAAUAUUUAAAUUAUAUUUAAAUUGAAUUAAAUUAAAGAAAUCAUUAUUGAAAUUAUUAAGAUAAUAUUUGUUGAUGUUGACAAUUAUCAUUUCCAAGACUUAUUUAAAUUGUUAUUUCACAAUAAUAAUUCUUUAAUAUAUAAUAACGACUAAAGUUCAAGGAGAAUUCAAAUAGAUGAGCGUAUAAAUUUUUUGCAAGCUUUGACAAAACGCAUUUUUCUGACAUCUUGUUUGUGGUAUUAUCAUGGUUGAGUGUAAAUCGUGGGAGUAUUACAAGAACCACAAUAUAUAUACAUCUAUCUAUAUAAGAGUGAAGCCUAAAGGAGAUUAGAAAUCGCGCGAAAGGGACCACACACGUGCGCACAAUGUUGGUUACCAUGACAACCAUUGGCAACACUGUUGCGAUUGUAGCGCUCUAUAUCAUUUUGAAGCGUGCGUGUAUUCCCGAGGAUUUGCGAUCAGA